GAUGAAGAACGCAGCGAAAUGCGAUACUUGGUGUGAAUUGCAGAAUCCCGUGAACCAUCGAGUCUUUGAACGCAAGUUGCGCCCGAAGCCAUUAGGCCGAGGGCACGCCUGCCUGGGCGUCACACGUCGUUGCCCCCCCCAUCUACUCCUUCGGGAUUGCGGGGGGCGGAUGAUGGCCUCCCGUGCGCCUCGCCGCGCGGUUGGCAUAAAUGCCAAGUCCUCGGCGACGCACGCCACGACAAUCGGUGGUUGCGAAACCUCGGUUGCCCGUCGUGUGCGGUCGUCGCGCAUCGAGGGCUCGAAAAAAUUGCCGGGCUCCGGCUCGGCUUUCAACGCGACCCCAGGUCAGGCGGGGUUACCCGCUGAAUUUAAGCAUAUCAAAAGCGGAGGA
rnacentral:misc_RNA from 1 species